GGAGAGGAAGUGCGUGCAAGGAACAGGGAGCAAGAGGUGUGCAAGAAACUGAGAGGAUGGUGGAAUCUCUCCGUGGUGCAGACCAGUAACAGACACACACAGGCUAUAGUGGAGCAGAAAUGAACUGAGUUAGAGCGUAUACGGUGGGGAACAGGGACCGAACGCUGCACAACAGCUGCUGCUGAUGUGAACUUUGUCUGCUAUACCAGCGAGACCCAAGGAAGCCCAGGAAGCUGACUGAGUGGCUGCUUCCAAGCUCCGAGUCAUAAAGCUCACUGCUUAUCGCCUCUCCUGAGACCGUGCUCCUGAGACACACGCUACCCCAGUCCUGGUCUCCACAGGCCAGCCAAAGGGUCACCACAUGCAGCUGUGAUUCCCUCAGAUGCGCAAGUGCAACCUGUGAGGAUCAGGAGUCCUGGCAUGAGACGCUCCAGUCACCUUGGAUGAAGAUGGAGUAGGACACGCCAAGACCUGUCAUCUUGCCAGUCACAUCUGUGUGCUCCUUGCCAUCUGCUUUGUUUUAAGUAAGCCAGGCGUGAAGCCUUCACGCUAGCCACUAAUACGGCUCUUGGCUGUCAGUGUCACAGGUGGGGAACAACGUUCCCUCUAAUUUUUUCCAUCCACGUGCGGAAUGACUUUUGUUAUGUGCACCAUAUCGGCGGAA